rnacentral:rRNA from 1 species
CCUACGGGUGGCAGCAGUGGGGAAUAUUGCACAAUGGGCGCAACCCUGAUCCAGCAACGCCGCGUGAAUGAUGACGGCCUUCGGGUUGUAAAGCUCUGUCUUCAGGGACGAUAAUAGCGGUACCUGCUGAUGAAUCCACGGCUAACUACGUGCAAGCAGCAGCGGUAAUACGUAGGUGGCGAGCGUUGUCCGGAUGUACUGGGCGUAAAGGGAGCGUAGGCGGCAUUUUAAGUGAGAUGUGAAAUACUCGGGCUCAACCUGAAGGCUGCAUUUGAAACUGGAAGUCUGGAGUGCAGGAGAGGAGAACGGAAUUCCGAGUGUAGCGGUGAAAUGCGUAGAGAUUAGGAAGAACACCAGUGGCGAAGGCGAAUUGCUGGACUGUAACUGACGCUGAGGCGCGAAAGCGUGGGGAGCAAACAGGAUUAGAUACCCGGGUAGUC